UACGGGAGGCAGCAGUGGGGAAUAUUGCACAAUGGGCGCAAGCCUGAUGCAGCCAUGCCGCGUGUAUGAAGAAGGCCUUCGGGUUGUAAAGUACUUUCAGUCGUGAGGAAGGUGUUAAGGUUAAUAACCUUAGCAAUUGACGUUAGCGACAGAAGAAGCACCGGCUAACUCCGUGCCAGCAGCCGCGGUAAUACGGAGGGUGCGAGCGUUAAUCGGAAUUACUGGGCGUAAAGGGCACGCAGGCGGUUAAUUAAGUUGGAUGUGAAAUCCCCGGGCUUAACCUGGGAAUGGCAUUCAAGACUGGUUAGCUAGAGUCUUGUAGAGGGGGUAGAAUUCCAUGUGUAGCGGUGAAAUGCGUAGAGAUGUGGAGGAAUACCGGUGGCGAAGGCGGCCCCUGGACAAAGACUGACGCUCAUGUGCGAAAGCGUGGGGAGCAAACGAGGGAUUAAAUACC
rnacentral:rRNA from 1 species